GUCAAAGCUGACCAGCCACUACCGACUUUCUGUCCCAUGGCAUCGAUGAAGUGGAGGACAAACCACAUGAACUUCUCUGUGUUAAAACAAAGGUGGACACGGCUGUGGAUCCCCUCACAAUGAGCAAAGAUAAGAAGUCUCGUAAGAGGGGUAUGCGUCACCUACGGCUGUGUGGCCUCCAGACAGGAGGAAGAGGAGCAGAAUCCCACCAUUUCACAUCCUAAAAAUAAAAAAAAUCCUAUUAAUUCUAUUUUUGCUGUUGAUUUUUUAUGAAUCAUGAAUCAAGAAUUUAUUCUAUCAAUAGUUGUUUUUUUAAAAUAAAUUCUUGCAUUCCAAAGUUUGUCUUUUAGUUGUUAUUUUCCCAAAAAUAUGAGGUGACUAGAGCUCAGAUAUGAGCAUGUGCACUCCAUGACAUCUGCUCAUUGGUGGACAUGAAAACAGAAUGUGAACUUGAUCGCCCAUGGCAACAACCCCAUGGGGUUGUUCUGUUAUGAACACAUCCUAUCAACAGAUGGCGCCAUUGACCUAAACUCUGUGGUAGCUUUUAUUUACCCCUGAACUGUACUACUAGAGCAUUUAGUUAUUCGUUCACAAGUGAAUGCAUUUCCAUUGAAAUAAAUGUUGUGACCAAAACAUGCAAAAACUUUUUUUUCCCAUGGUAAUGUAAAAUCUCUUCAACAUACUCUGUAAGAGAUCUGUGUACUGAUUCAUUA